CUCGAGAAGAAGAUUUUGAGAAUAAUAUAAGCUCGAAAAUAGUUAUUGGUAAGAAAUAAAGUUCGAUUUUUACACGAAUCGACUCUUAAGUGUUAUACAUUAGUAAUCACCAACCCAAGUCCUAGAAGGGAUUCAGGUCUCCAACCCGCAACUUGGAUAGGUCCUACCAGAAGAUUGAGUGCAAGGCAAACGACGAAAGGACAGCAAAGUGAGCUCACGGACCCAGCUCGCAAGAACAUAUGUUAGCCUUGGUCUUAGCCCGCAUAUACCCAAGGAGCUUGCAGAAAGGACCACGUGCUCCACAUGCCAUCUAAACACGUGUCCAACAAGCAUGGAGUCCACCUAGAAUCAGUCCCAUGGAUAGAAAGGACGGCGUGCUCCGUGAAUACGUACCCAGUAGACCUGGAGUUCGCAGAGAAUGUCAGUAUUAGAGGUAGCAGAGUCAAAAUAAAAUAGUGGGGCUUGAUUAUGAGUUGUAAUAACAUCUAUAAUAACAUGUAUAAAUACCCGAACACUCCUACCAAUAACACGAGAAAAUAUUACUCAAUAAAAGAUAUAAAAAGAUAUUAUACCUUAAAUAUUUAA